UACGUAGGGGGCAAGCGUUGUCCGGAUUUAUUGGGCGUAAAGAGCGUGUAGGCGGCCAGAUAGGUCCGUUGUGAAAACUGGAGGCUUAACCUCCAGCUGUCGAUGGAAACCAUCUGGCUAGAGUCCGGAAGAGGAGAGUGGAAUUCCCGGUGUAGUGGUGGAAUGCGUAGAUAUCGGGAGGAACACCGGUGGCGAAGGCGGCUCACUGGGCCGGUCCUGACGCUCAGGCGCGAAAGCGUGGGGAGCGAUCCGG
rnacentral:rRNA from 1 species